CCUGCUGCUUCCACCCUCCAGCGCCCGGGGCCCUGUGCUGGGAGGGGCAGCGCCAGAAGCGGUGUCUCUGCGGCGCUGGAUUGAAGGCUAGGUGCAGCCCAGGCGCUGGGAGGAUCCGAGGCUGGAGAGAGGGGCGCGAAGAGGCUGCUGGACUUUAACCUCAGUUUUGCUCUGGCCAGGUGCUUUUACUUCUGGAAAUGAUGUUUGAGGCAAAGAUUUCCCUUUCUGAGGUGAUGGCCGCCCUCUUUACUAUGACAUUAAUUUUAAUUUCUGUAAGAAUAAUAGGUAAUAUGACCAAAAAGCACAUCCUUCCCCCAGGUCCAUGGUCAUUACCAAUUGUGGGGAACCUGCUUCAGCUUGGAGAGCAUCCUCACCUUUCAUUUAUCCAAAUGAGGAAAAAAUAUGGGGACGUGUUUCUCCUAAAGCUGGGGAUGAUACCUGUUGUGGUGGUGAACGGUCUAGAUAUGGUGAAACAAGUGUUACUCAGAGAUGGAGAGAGUUUUGCUGGCAGGCCCAAGAUGCACAGCUUUUCUUUCUUUGCUGAUGGAAAAAGUCUAUCAUUUUCUGUAGAAUAUGGAGAGAGCUGGAAACUCCACAAGAAAAUUGCCAGUAAAGCUUUAAGAUCCUUUUCAAAGUCAGAAGCCAAAACCUCUACUUGCUCUUGUCUUCUGGAAGAGCACGUAUGUGCAGAAGCUUCAGCACUGGUGAAAAUGUUCUUGGAGCUCUCCUUAGAGAAAGGUGCCUUUGACCCCACUGGUAUUACUACCUGCACUGUUGCAAAUAUUGUCUGUGCCCUGUGCUUUGGCAAAAGGUAUGACUAUAAUGAUGAAGAGUUUCUUAGCAUGAUUAGGAUCAAUGCAGAUUUUCUAAAAGCCACAAGUAUUGUCAACCCAGCUGAUUUUAUACCUUGGUUUCGGUACCUUCCAAUCCCUGCUGUGAAGGCUGCCCAUGGGUUUUAUGAGGUCUUAAAUAACUUCAUCGCACAACGAGUAGAAGAACAUUAUACCACAUAUGAUAAGAAUCAUCUCAGAGACAUUACUGACGCUCUAAUAAGUAUAAGCAAUGACAAAGGAAGUGAUGGAAAAGCUCCACCCUUAUCUAAUGAUAAAAUAAUAAGUACUGUGAAUGACAUCUUUGGAGCUGGGUUUGAUGCAGUAUCAACAUGUUUAUUUUGGAUCUUCCUAUAUUUGGUAAACAACCCAGACAUUCAGACAAAAAUUCAAGAAGAAAUUGAUGGAAAGAUUGGACUCAGGUCACCAAGAUUUGAUGACAGGAAAGAUUUGCAUUAUACGGAAGCUUUCAUAAGUGAAAUCUUAAGGCACACUUCAUUUAUACCAUUUACCAUUCCUCACCGUGCAACGAAAGAAACCAUUCUCAAUGGGUACCUCAUUCCCCAAGAUACCUGUAUCUUUGUUAAUAUGUAUCAAGUAAAUCAUGAUGAGCUUGAUUCAUCAGAAAAAUGCAUUCCCAAGGAAAGAAUGGUAAUAAUGGAAGUCUGAAAAGGAAAUUGUGAAAUCUGCUGUUGUAGAGUAUUAACAGAACACACAAGACACGGGAAAGAACAUCAGACUGACAGUGUUACAAGAGACCUCUCCAUUGAUCACCAUUUUGACCCAAGUGGUUAGACUAUAGUCAGUGUUUUAAGGGUUGUUUCCAUUAAGAGGAGAAAUUGAUGAUGGGGUCAUAAUGGGAAGAAGGACUUGACUGUCAUGUCCUUAAAGCGAGCAGUUCAGAGAGGGCAUGUUUCAGUUUUCUACCUUGAAAUGAUGGGGUACUGCUGGCCUACUCACAUCCGAACGCCCUACUCAAAGACAUGCAUCUGAGAAGCACCUUUACUCCAGGCUUAGUCUGGAGAAUACUUGUUGAAUACAGCUUGUUCUUCUCCAUGCAAGGAGAAGAGCAGUUAGAACAUAACAGGUUUCAACUAGCAAGCACCAGUGAGGAGCUAAGGCAGAAAAGAAGGUGACAGCCACAUUUUCAGAGAAGUGGAAUUUCUAUAGCAACAAUAACAUUUCCAAAAAUAAAUUCUGCACCUAUUUCAAUAGUCAUGGAACCACAACGUUCAUGGAAUCUAGAUUACAGCUGUAUUUCAACUAGUCCCCACCAAUCUGUCAUUCUCAAACUACACACAUAUUUGUAUGAUAACACAAGUGUAGUAAGAUGAGGCCCUGAGACAUAAACCCUUGGUAUCAGAGGCCUGGUAUGAAGCCUGAGGCCUGAACUGAAGUAAUGUCAAGACAUUGCUAACAUAAAGCAAAGUUAGGCUGUGAGCCAGAGGCAGGCCCUGCUCACAGAAGGUGGCAAGAGGAAGACUGCCAAAAGCACAUAUACACAUGAAAGCACUAAUAAAAUGAACGUAUGCCAGGACGGCACCAGAACAGCCUGGUACGAAUACAUCCCACACAGAUAACAAGGAACAUGCACACCCAGCCUAAAGAUAGUAUAAAAGGACAAUAUGAUGGAUAGACAAUAUGAAAGAACAAUACAAUGGAUAACCAAUACAAUGGAUAGCCAAUAUGAUGAAUAGAUAAUAUGAAAGUACAAUACGACAAAUAGACAGUAUGAUGGAUAGACUUAUUUGUUCGAACCAAUCUGUACAAGAAGAAAGGCAACACCCUAAUGCAUAGAGGUGCUGUACCUCAGUACAUUCAGUGAUGCGUAACCUGUUUGUACCUGUGUAUAAGAGUGCAUCCCUGAGUGGACGUCUUUGUCUGGCCUAGGGGGCAGUGGCCACUGACUGAGCCGGUCCAUUGCCAGGGAGCACAUAUGUACUAGCAGAACCAUAGAUAUCUAAUCCAGGGAGCUAGAACCUGUGUUUCUCUUCGACAACAAACCUGGCCAGGUGCCUUCGUACCUUAUCGGAGUCUGUGAUCAUUGGGGGUUCUCUCGGGGGUCUGCUGUGUCAGCUAUCUGCACAGAGCCGGGGCAGCACACAGAGGGAACACACGCACGCAGCCGACUGAUAUUAACAUUGAAUAGAGCAGAGCACCACACCGUAGCCUCUGACGACAUUCCCAUACCAGCUGGACACCUUGUUUAUUUCAACAUUUACCAGACUGACUGCCUUUGAAACAGCUUGAACAAUUGUAAAAAUGAUGCUAUCAGAAAACCAAUUACAUUUUCAUUCUUCCAUUUUGUGUUCAGUUGUUCUGCCAUAGCCUCUAAUACCCCUGAAACAUCUACCUUUUCUGCUGUAACUAAUGCUUUUUCCUGAGGAAAAUCCAUCUGUAAAUUCACAAUCUCUUGCACUUUUUCCAUAUUCAGUCUGAUCCUCUGAAGUUCCUGCAGUGCUGAAUUGGGAAGGAAAACAAGAAAGAAAAAAUCAUAAGCAUUUGCAAUACAUUUCCUAAUUAAUAACUAAUUGUAAUCCUUUACUGCCAGGGUGGGGAUCAGAAUAAACCUUGAUUUAUA